CCCUGUCUCUCUCCAGCUACAAAAACAGCAACUGCUGAAGGGGCCAGAGACCAUCUACCUGUGUUUAAAAGCACUCGUGCACUGGAUUUCAUACUGAUGGACCCUCUUCUGCUCUUCUUCAGUUUGAUCUCCUCAAGCCUGGAAGUUAUGUCUUUAUCUGCUAUGAAAAUAUUUUAUCAGGGUAAUCUGGUUACGAAUAUUUACACAAUUUGCCCCAAAUUCUCUCAUUACAGCUGUCAUUCUCAAUUAUUCACAGGUAGUGCUACAUGCAGUUUCCAUGGAAACCAGCAGCUCACAGCUAACAGAUGCACAGUCAAUUGUAAGCAAUGGGCACUCAAGCAAAACUAGUGGACUUAAUAAUUAUGUUGAUAUUUGACCAUCUCGAAUCUGCAGAUAACAAAAAGCUAGUUUCCAUUUCAACCUCUUAUUUGCAAAUCUUUGAGAAAAUGUCUUAACUGUGGCUGUAAAGAAACAAAGUCCCAGUUUUAUUUUAUUUGCUGGGUAUUUCAGAAACAUGCAAUAAAUUUAAUGAAGAGGCUGUAAUGUUUAUGACACAUCACAUUUUUCACGUUUCACUACUAUUUCCUGUAUUUACAAUUGCAAAUAAAAUGUCACAUAAUGCCAACUGUAAAA